rnacentral:rRNA from 1 species
CACGGGGGGAGCAAGCGUUGUUCGGAAUCACUGGGCGUAAAGGGCGUGUAGGCGGUCAAGUAAGUGGGAUGUGAAAUCCCCCGGCUUACCCGGGGACCGGCAUCCCAUACUGCUUGGCUUGAGUACGGGAGAGGAUGUGGGAAUUCCUGGUGUAGCGGUGAAAUGCGCAGAUAUCAGGAGGAACACCGAUGGCGAAGGCAGGUCUCUGGGCCGAUACUGACGCUGAGGAGCGAAAGCGUGGGGAGCGAACAGG